rnacentral:lncRNA from 1 species
UCCACUAGCAUUGGGGUUGCAAAAAAUUUCUAAGAUGAUGAGCUUGAUUGUUGAGCAUUGAACUUGCAAAAAAUUCUAAGAUAAUGAGCUGGAUUGUUGUGCAUUGGGCUUGAAAAAAAUUUCUAAGAUGAUGAGCUUUAUUGCUGAGCAUUGGGCUUGCAAAAAAUUUCUGAGAUGAUGGGCUUGAGGGUUGACCAUUAGGCUUGUACAAAAACUCUAGUCUUGUUCUUAAA